CCUACGGGAGGCAGCAGUGAGGAAUAUUGGUCAAUGGGCGCAAGCCUGAACCAGCCAAGUCGCGUGAGGGAUGACGGUCCUAUGGAUUGUAAACCUCUUUUGUCGGGGAGCAAGGCCCGCCACGUGUGGCGGGAAGGAGAGUACCCGAAGAAAAAGCAUCGGCUAACUCCGUGCCAGCAGCCGCGGUAAUACGGAGGAUGCGAGUGUUAUCCGGAUUUAUUGGGUUUAAAGGGUGCGUAGGCGGAAGGUUAAUGCAGCGGUAAAAUGUCGGUGCUCAACACCGGCCUGCCGUUGAAACUGGUCUUCUUGAGUGAGCGAGAAGUAUGCGGAAUGCGUGGUGUAGCGGUGAAAUGCAUAGAUAUCACGCAGAACUCCGAUUGCGAAGGCAGCAUACCGGCGCUCAACUGACGCUGAGGCACGAAAGCGUGGGGAUCGAACAGGAUUAGAUACCCUUGUAGUC
rnacentral:rRNA from 1 species